rnacentral:lncRNA from 13 species
UGUUAGGUUGAAACCCAUUUCAGCUUGAUGUUAACUACUGUUAGGUUGAAACCCAUUUCAGCUUGAUGUUAACUACUGUUAGGUUGAAACCCAUUUCAGCUUGAUGUUAACUACUGUUAGGUUGAAACCCAUUUCAGCUUGAUGUUAACUACUGUUAGGUUGAAACCCAUUUCAGCUUGAUGUUAACUACUGUUAGGUUGAAACCCAUUUCAGCUUGAUGUUAACUACUGUUAGGUUGAAACCCAUUUCAGCUUGAUGUUAACUACUGUUAGGCUGAAACCCAUAUGAGAAAUAAUCCUGAUGUCCUCAGAUCUGACAGCGCCUCUCUAGGAACUAAUCUAUAGACGAACAUGACUGAAUGACUGGUGUUAACCCAGGGGGCAUGGAAACAACAACCAAGAUAAAACAUUGAUGAGCCUAGAAAGAAGAAGAGAAAUCCUGUUGUUUCUGGUCAAAGAGAACAGAGAAACCCUGUUGUUUCUGGUCAAAGGGAACAGAGAAACCCUGCUGUUUCUGGUCAAAGAGAACAGAGAAAUCCUGUUGUUUCUGAUCAAAGAGAACAGAGACAUCCUGUUGUUUCUGAUUAAAGAGAACAGAGAAAUCCUGUUGUUUCUGAUCAAAGAGAACAGAGAAAUCCUGUUGUUUCUGAUUAAAGAGAACAGAUAAAUCCUGUUGUUUCUGAUCAAAGAGAACAGAGAAAUCCUGUUGUUUCUGAUCAAAGAGAACAGAGAAACCCUGCUGUUUCUGGUCAAAGAGAACAGAGAAACCCUGCUGUUUCUGGUCAAAGAGAACAGAGAAAUCCUGUUGUUUCUGAUCAAAGAUAACAGAGAAACCCUGCUGUUUCUGAUCAAAGAUAACAGAGAAACCCUGCUGUUUCUGAUCAAAGAGAACAGAGAAAUCCUGCUGUUUCUGAUCAAAGAUAACAGAGAAACCCUGCUGUUUCUGGUCAAAGAUAACAGAGAAACCCUGCUGUUUCUGAUCAAAGAUAACAGAGAAANNNNNNNNNNAAACCCAUUUCAGCUUGAUGUUAACUACUGUUAGGUUGAAACCCAUUUCAGCUUGAUGUUAACUACUGUUAGGUUGAAACCCAUUUCAGCUUGAUGUUAACUACUGUUAGGCUGAAACCCAUAUGAGAAAUAAUCCUGAUGUCCUCAGAUCUGACAGCGCCUCUCUAGGAACUAAUCUAUAGACGAACAUGACUGAAUGACUGGUGUUAACCCAGGGGGCAUGGAAACAACAACCAAGAUAAAAC